AAGUCGUAACAAGGUUUCCGUAGGUGAACCUGCGGAAGGAUCAUUAAUGAAUUUUUAGGGUGCUCUCUUCAUCAGAGAGGCCCGAACUCUUCAUUCUUCUACACUGUGCACUAUAACAUUCCGUAAUUCGUCUAUUUUCGAUGUCAAAGUCGAGAUUAGACUUAUUUGGAAUAUCAUUUUUUAAACUCUAUACAAGUCUAAGAAUGAAUACAAAACCAAAAUAUAAAAAACUUUCAACAACGGAUCUCUUGGCUCUC
rnacentral:misc_RNA from 1 species